UACGUAGGGGGCAAGCGUUGUCCGGAUUUAUUGGGCGUAAAGAGCGUGUAGGCGGCCGUACAGGUCAGCUGUGAAAACUCGAGGCUCAACCUCGAGACGUCGGUUGAAACCGUACGGCUAGAGUCCGGAAGAGGAGAGUGGAAUUCCCGGUGUAGCGGUGAAAUGCGCAGAUAUCGGGAAGAACACCCGGGGCGAAGGCGGCUCUCUGGGACGGUACGGACGCUGAGACGCGAAAGCGUGGGAGCGAACAGG
rnacentral:rRNA from 1 species